GGCAGCCGGAAAGGGAAGGUGCAGGCCCCACGCGACGGCGGCGGAUGGCUCUCGCUGAGCCGGGGGGCUGCUGCUGCUACACUCCUGAGUCAGCCAAAGCCCCGCGCGCCGACGCCGUGUCCUAAAAGUUACAGUGCCGCCCAGAGAGCACUGAAGGGAAACCAUAAGCUCACCAUGAAUACCACACAGCUAGACUGGAUUCCAACGUGAAGAAGCAGAGAUGCUGCCAUCAUCAAUACCAUGAACAG